GACGCUAAUACCGCGUAAAUCAACGAGAUCGCAUGAUUUUGUUGGAAAAGGAGAAAUCCGCUUAAGGAUGGGCCCGCGGCCUAUUAGCUAGUUGGUAGGGUAACGGCCUACCAAGGCGACGAUAGGUAGCCGACCUGAGAGGGUGAACGGCCACACUGGAACUGAGAAACGGUCCAGACUCCUACGGGAGGCAGCAGUAGGGAAUAUUCCGCAAUGGGCGAAAGCCUGACGGAGCAACGCCGCGUGAGUGAAGAAGGUUUUCGGAUCGUAAAGCUCUGUCAACAGGGACGAAACAAGACGGUACCUGAGAAGGAAGCCACGGCAAACUACGUGCCAGCAGCCGCGGUAAUACGUAGGUGGCAAGCGUUGUCCGGAAUAACUGGGCGUAAAGCGCAUGUAGACGGCAUGAUAAGCCAAAUGUGAAAUGUAGGGGCUCAACCCCUGCACUGCGAUUGGAACUGUCAAGCUUGAGUGCAGGAGAGGCAAAUGGAAUUCCCAGUGUAGCAGUGAAAUGCGUAGAGAUUGGGAGGAACACCAGUGGCGAAGGCGAUUUGCUGGACUGCAACUGACGUUGAGAUGCGAAAGCUAGGGGAGCAAACGGGAUUAGAUACCCCGGUAGUCCUAGCCGUAAACGAUGGAUACUAGGUGUAGAGGGUAUCGACCCCUUCUGUGCCGCAGCGAACGCAAUA
rnacentral:rRNA from 1 species